rnacentral:rRNA from 1 species
GACGAACGCUGGCGGCGUGCUUAACACAUGCAAGUCGAGCAGUAAGGCCUUUCGGGGUACACGAGUGGCGAACGGGUGAGUAACACGUGGGUGAUCUGCCCUGCACUCUGGGAUAAGCCUGGGAAACUGGGUCUAAUACCGGAUAUGACUACAUGCUGCAUGGUGUGUGGUGGAAAGAUUUAUCGGUGCAGGAUGGGCCCGCGGCCUAUCAGCUUGUUGGUGGGGUAAUGGCCUACCAAGGCGACGACGGGUAGCCGACCUGAGAGGGUGACCGGCCACACUGGGACUGAGACACGGCCCAGACUCCUACGGGAGGCAGCAGUGGGGAAUAUUGCACAAUGGGCGGAAGCCUGAUGCAGCGACGCCGCGUGAGGGAUGAAGGCCUUCGGGUUGUAAACCUCUUUCAGCAGGGACGAAGCGUGAGUGACGGUACCUGCAGAAGAAGCACCGGCUAACUACGUGCCAGCAGCCGCAGUAACAC